GUGCUUGUUUUGGCAGCACAUACACUAAAAUUGAAACAAUAUAGAGAAGAUCAGCAUGAUCCCUGUACAGGGAUGACACACAAAUUUGUGAGGUGUUCCAUAUUUCU
ensembl:snRNA U6 U6 spliceosomal RNA